GACGAACGCUGGCGGCGUGCUUAACACAUGCAAGUCGAACGGAAAGGCCCUGCUUUUGUGGGGUGCUCGAGUGGCGAACGGGUGAGUAACACGUGAGUAACCUGCCCUUGACUUUGGGAUAACUUCAGGAAACUGGGGCUAAUACCGGAUAGGAGCUCCUGCUGCAUGGUGGGGGUUGGAAAGUUUCGGCGGUUGGGGAUGGACUCGCGGCUUAUCAGCUUGUUGGUGGGGUAGUGGCUUACCAAGGCUUUGACGGGUAGCCGGCCUGAGAGGGUGACCGGCAACAUUGGGACUGAGAUACGGCACAGACUCGUACGGGAGGCAGCAGUGGGGAAUAUUGCACAAUGGGCGGAAGCAUGAAGCAGCAACGCCGCGUGCGGGAUGACGGCCUUCGGGUUGUAAACCGAUUUCGCCUGUGACGAAGCGUGAGUGACGGUAAUGGGUAAAGAAGCACCGGCUAACUACGUG
rnacentral:rRNA from 1 species